GCAGGCUUGGCCGAAUGGUUAAGAUGCGCUUAGUAAGCGGAAGAUCAUGGUUUCGAUUCCCAUCUGCU
rnacentral:tRNA from 1 species